UACGUAGGGUGCAAGCGUUGUCCGGAAUUAUUGGGCGUAAAGAGCUUGUAGGCGGUUUGUCGCGUCUGCUGUGAAAUUUCGGGGCUCAACCCCGAACUUGCAGUGGGUACUGGCAGACUAGAGUGUGGUAGGGGAGACUGGAAUUCCUGGUGGUAGCGGUGAAAUGCGCAGAUAUCAGGAGGAACGACCGAUGGCGAAGGCAGGUCUCUGGGCCAUAACUGACGCUGGAGAAGCGGAAAGCAUGGGGAGCGAACAGGA
rnacentral:rRNA from 1 species